UCUUUCUAGAAACACUUUCCAGUACCUCUACUUUGUUACGACUUAUUCCAAUUUAUUAAUGAAAGCGACGGGCAAUAUGUACAUAUUUUAAUAUAUAAUCAUUUUAAUAAAUUAAUUAAAAUUACAUUUAAAUCCACCUUCAAAUAUUUCUUAAAAAAUAUUAUCCAUUUAAAUUUAUUUAUUGUAAUCCAUUAUAUUCUUAAUUAUAAUCUGCAUCUUGAUCUGAAUUAAUUUUAAAUAAAAAUUUUAAAAUAUUAUUUUUAUUAAAAAAUAUUUUUUUAACAACGAUAUACAAAAUAAUAAAUUAAGUAAAUUUAUUCGUGGAUUAUCAAUUAUUAAACAGAUUCCUCUAAAUGAACUAAAAUACCGCCAAAUUACUUAAGUUUCAAUAAAUAAUUAUCUACUAUUUUAGUAUUAUAAAUUUAAUUUUUAAUAAUAGGGUAUCUAAUCCUAGUUUA
rnacentral:rRNA from 1 species